ACUUCCAUUGCAGAUCUUGGCUCUGAGGUUAAAAGAGAGGUCAGUGCCGGAAUAGCCACUGUGUCCCGCAUGAUGGAACGUUUAGAAACGAGAGAAGACAGUACUAGACCAGGGACUGAACCUGUAUCAGAAAACAACACUAAUGCUGAAUCAAACAAUGAGCAUAGUAGAAGAUCAGAAGCGAGUGAUGAACAUUCUUUGAGUGAAAGAGGUGUUAAAGGAACAUGUGCGGCUGCAUCUGGUUCUAGCUAAUAAAACUAGUGCCAGCAUCUUGUUGGCAAUGGUAUACUGAUUCAGCUUUGGCUUAUCAUGUGGUUGAUCCUCAACAACUAAGAUCUUGUAUUGUUUGUUGUUUCUUUUUCUUUCUUGUCAGAGACGAGAAGAUGUUUUUAUUGUGAAGUUCUGCUAUAUAUAUUGAUAUACUGAGUUGGAAGUUCAGAAUCAGAGGUGUGGGAGCAUUAGGAAGAGAUUUUUCCUAAAAGAAUAAUAAAAAGAUUAUGUGUUGUGUUAUGUCAUAAAAAAAAAACACGCCCGUAUGUUGUUAUGAUAGUUACUUAUGUAUCUUCAGAAGCUUUAGCCGAUGCCCCAAUUUAUUGUAUCUAAUGUUGCUUUUGAUUAGUAGUGCAUUACUUAGAAAGAGAGUUUCAAUCAAAAUCAGAGAACAUAGCUGGAUUUACAAACGAAAUGAGCUUUUAGUUUACAUUCUGUUAAGCACUCAUUUUGAAGGUUUUGUCUUCUUGUACUAGUUUUUUUUUUUGUUUUUGUUGCAAUUCAGUUAAAAGAGCAGAGCCUUGUGCGUUCGAUACAAAACUAGAAUCCGCCCUAAAACACCAGUGACAGCAUAAACUUCAUCUGUCAAUCCAGGAAGAAAAACAAAACAAAGCGAAAAUGGCUUUAUAUCCAAACAUGAAAACAUUCCAAGAAGAGACGUUUCUUGAUAAAAUUGCCUGAAAACCGAAAGUAUGAUGAGUAAGAUGUCGCCUGAAGAGCGUGAGAGGAUGUUUAACAUGGCAUCGUCUUUGAAAGCAAAUGCUCCAGUUUCAACAUCAUACAGAGAUGCCGAAACAGCUGAGCGACAGGAAGCGAGUGGUGAGUCUAGUUCUUCGGUAAGAGGUUUUGAACCAAGCAUGCCUUCUGCUCCGCCUGUUGACUUGCAGGAGCAGAUGAGAAACCAAAUGAAAGAUCCAGCGAUGCGACAGGUUUUAUGUUAUACAUUUUUUUUUUACAUAUUCAGGACUCAUAAAAUGUGAUUGUAGAUGUUAAUAUAUUGUAUUUUCUCUGUUUUUUUUUUGUAGAUGUUCAUGUCUAUGAUUAAAAACAUGAACCCGGAGAUGAUGGCUAGCAUGAGCGAACAGUUCGGAAUGAAGCUGUCUCGAGAAGAUGCGGCAAAAGCUCAAGAAGCCAUGGCUUCUCUUUCUCCUGAAGCUUUGGAGAAAAUGGUACACACUCGGUUUAUGAAAAUAUUGCAGAACUGACUGUAUUGGUUAUUUCAUUUGUAACUGUUGUGUGCAGAUGCGAUGGGCGGACCGGGCGCAAACCGGGAUAGAGAAAGCGAAGAGAGCAAAGAAGUGGUUGCUAGGCAAAGGCGGGUUGAUCUUUGCAAUAUGUAUGCUCGUUUUAGCAAUGAUCCUUCAUCGUCUAGGCUAUAUUGGAAGGUAAAGAAAACGAGGAAGGUCUCUUAAGACUUAUUAUGCCAGAGAACAGUCUUUGGUUUGGGCUCGUGGUUUUGUAAAACUGUAACAUCGACUCACUCACCGACAGUUUUUCUUCUUCUUCUUCUUUCUCUAGGCUUUUUAACCUCUUUUGUCUAGUCUUCCUUCCACCUUCUGUAGUGUUUUAAAAGCUUUUAAUGUUAUUUUUUCUUUUAGAUAUUCGUUAUAUUUUAUAAAGCAUACUAUUAUUCUCCUCGUCGUACCUUUCUCGAGUAAGAGAGUAAAAUUUUUCGAGAUUCACAAAAUCAGCACUAGUGCUGCUUGUUUAAGUAUCAUCCUGGAAAGACGAGAACCAGAAACAGCAUUUCAUAAGAGAAGAAGAAUAAAAUAUCAACUAGCAAGCAAAAUCAACACUAAUGCUACUUGCAUUUUAGAAGUUUUUUUAGAAGUUUUUAAUACACUUUUGUCUAGAUAUCUUUCCAUCUUUGUUUAUUAUUGUUAAUAUUUAGAGAGAAAACAAUAUUUCUUUUCAGAUAUUUGUUACUUUUUGUAUAAACAUAAUGAUUCUUUGCUGGGACCUUCUCGACCAAGAGUGAAAAACAAAAUGUCCAGAUGAAGUGUAAACUAAAAUUACAUUUCAAAAAUAGAGGACAGAAAAAAAUCUAAGAAGGAAAAAGUACAAACACGUGUCAUAAUCUGGGACCCACUUGUUGUCUUUUCGUUUAAUGGCUUGAAUUAAAUUUACACAGAAAAAUAAAAAAGAAGGUGUCGAGAGUCAAAAGAGAACGCGCAAAGAGAAGAGAAGAGAAGAGAAGAAACGAAAGAGUCUUUUAUCUUUCCAUAUAUCUAUCUCCCUCUCCUUUAUUUCUUCUCAUCCAUUAUCAUCGGGGUGAAUCUAGGGUUUUGUUUUCUCUCGCGACACCGUGUUCCUCCUUUAUAAUCUCUCUCUCUCUCUCUCUCUUUCAUCUCCUUAGCUCAUCAUCACGACUUCAAUGGAGGUUAGGCUUUAAUCUUUGUUUUUUUCCCCUGUUGAAUUUCAUUUAUGCCAUUGAUUUGAGACAACGAAUAUUCUGCUUGUUAUUAUAUAUACAUGGUUUUUUGUUGAAUUGUACUCAAUUGCAUUGCUGAAAAGUCUUGUUGGUGUUGAAAAUUCAAUUAUAGGGAGCGGGAGGCAAGACGACGUCGUCUGACGACGGGCAUUUGACGUCAGCAGCAGCUUUUGUUCAAGGGGGAAUCCAAGAUCCUUGUGAUGAUGCCUGUAGCAUUUGUCUUGAACUCUUCUGCGAUUCUGAUCCUUCAACUGUAUGUCGUCUCAAUAUUAUAAUUUGUUUGUUUUUGAGUGACAUUGAUUGAUUACCAGUUUUUUUAUCUUUAAUCUGUCGCAGUUGACUAGUUGCAAGCAUGAGUUUCAUCUUCAAUGCAUCCUUGAGUGGUAAGAGAAAAGAUAAACUCUCAUGCCUUUUGUAUCCUUGUUUCUUGUUUGUGUGAGAGCUGAUUAGAUCAUGUGGCAUUUGUGUUUCAGGUGUCAAAGGAGUUCACAGUGCCCAAUGUGUUGGCAAUCAAUUAGUCUCAAAGAUCCCACUAGGUUCCUUCUCUCUCCUUGUAAUACAUUUUAGUUCUUUUUGUUCUGCUGGAUGUUUGAGAUAUGUGUGUGUGUUUCCCUGUUUCACCAGUCAGGAGUUGCUUGAGGCUGUUGUACAGGAGAGGAGUUUCCGCUUCAAUCCACCUAGAAACGCCACCAUAUUUCGUCAUCCAACUCUUGGUGAUUUUGAGUUACAACAUGUAUGUGUCUCUUUUAUCAUAAACAUUUUAGGUUUGGGCACAAAUUUUUUUAAAAAAACGUUUGGUUUUGUAUAUUUUUAAACAAAAACAUCAUUAACUAUCAGCUUAACCACUUUUCAACCAACAAAAAAAACGACAGAAUAUAAAAGUCAUAAAACAUAAAAAUCCAAUAAAUUAUACAUUGAAAAUUGAAAACUGAAAACCUCAUGUAAUUUAAAACAAAUUUUGUUUUUCUAAAAUGUCAUUUUUUGAAAAAAGGAGGGAGUAUCUUACAUCUCUUUUGCUAGUGGAUUAACAAGAGUGAAUAUUAUUUUAAGUUUGAUUACUUCUCUUUUGCUAGUGGGUUAACUAAAGAGAGAGCUCCAUUUUGUUACAUUUUUCUUGAAAUGCAGCUCCCAGUAGGGGUGGAUAAUGCAGAGAUUGAAGAACGUAUCAUUCAGCACUUGGCUGCUGCUGCUGCUAUGGGCCGAGCAAGACAUGGUGCAAGAAGAGAAGGUCACAGAAGCAGGUCAUCAACUCAAGGUCAUCCACAGCUCAGGGUGUUCUCUCCGCAUUCCAAUGCUUCUCCACCUCAUCCUCCAAUGCCUUCCUCUCCAUCCCAAAGAGAUGAGAGUGAAACAAUCACAAACCUUCCUAUCUCUCAUCAAAAUACUUUAGGGGAGGGAUCUCUUCAUUCAAACAUGCAGCCACCAACUUCUUCUCAACCCCGCCAGGUUUCUCCUUCAAACAGCAGGUCUCCUAAUCAGCAUACCUCUAGUGAUCAAGAUAGAGCUGGACCAUCAGAGCUCCAAUCAUUUUCAGAAUCUCUAAAGUCUCGACUAAAUGCUGUCUCAAUGAGGUAUCCCAUCUCUAUCCAGCUGCCUUUGGUCUGUAUAUGUUUUUGUAACAAUCCGAAGUGGUUCCUUAUGAACAAUGUAGAUACAAAGAAUCAAUAUCAAAGAACACAAGGAGCUGGAAAGAUAGAUUCUUUUCACGCAGCACUUCCAUUGCAGAUCUUGGCUCUGAGGUUAAAAGAGAGGUCAGUGCCGGAAUAGCCACUGUGUCCCGCAUGAUGGAACGUUUAGAAACGAGAGAAGACAGUACUAGACCAGGGACUGAACCUGUAUCAGAAAACAACACUAAUGCUGAAUCAAACAAUGAGCAUAGUAGAAGAUCAGAAGCGAGUGAUGAACAUUCUUUGAGUGAAAGAGGUGUUAAAGGAACAUGUGCGGCUGCAUCUGGUU
rnacentral:lncRNA from 1 species